AGAGCUGCCUGUUUUUGCAGACAGACAAGGGGAGCCAGGGCACAGCACGGCUCGGCUCAUGCCCAGAGAAAGAGGAAGAAGCUGAGUGUGAGACAGAAAGGAAAUGGGAUGGCAGAGAGAGAAUAGAAGAGGAAAAUUAGCAAGAGAGACUAAAAGAGACAGAGAUCAAAGAGAAACACAGAAGGUAAAACUGGGGAGACAAAUAAUGUAAAAGGAAAAAAGAGUACAAGACAAAGUGAGAGAAUGCUGAGAGGUUGGCAGGGCUGGGGGAAGUUUCUGGGGACUUAAGCAACAAGGAGGUGCAGGGGAAGGGUGCAUGCAGUGCGUGGCCACUGAGGAACGACAAAACCCGGGAACUGGGGGAUGGAUGCAAGUGAGAAAGGGAUGUGGAGGAGAGUUUAGGAUCAGGCUGCCUGAGGUGUAAUGGGUUGCCUACAGCAAAAACUAGAUGGCUGUUUAUCAGGAGGUGGUCAAAAGGAUUCAAGUUAUGGAAGAGUAAAUGAAUAAGAUAACAUUAAGGUUUUGUUGUUGUUUUAGUGAGAGGCUGGAAGGCCACCAGGGGCAGUUAGCUGUCAGUAAGGCAGCAGAAGGGCUGGGGUCGCUACAUAAGGAAAAUCAGUACUAGGGCUGUAAACUCAAAUGACUACAGGGCCAGCAAAUAAUAAAAAGGAGGGCUGCAGGGCUGGGUGGGAACUGUGGCGGCUGCUCAGCUCUUCUUACAGUGCUGGCACUGUGUUUUCAGAUUGUCUGCUUUGUCAGAGGACAAAAUUCUGACUUUUUAUGUAAAAUAUAAUUUUAAAAUGCUGAUAUUCUGUUCAAAUAACUUAAAAACCCAAAACAGGCAAAAGAGGAUGCCAGUUUGCAAUCCCUGAAGUAGAGAGAGCUCGUGCUGGGGAAAAGUCUGCCAAAAUGCUUUAAGGUGGAAUGUGUAAAAGUUCUGUUUCCCAGAGUCGGGCUGGGCCAGGGGAGGAUCCUUGCAGCCCAGGAGGAGGAAAAGCCACUAAGUCCCCUCCCAGGGCUGGACAAACUGGAGACCCUUUACAGUUGCUGGGUCACCAGUGGGGGUUGCUUGAAACACAAACAGUGCAC
rnacentral:lncRNA from 1 species